rnacentral:rRNA from 1 species
UACGAAGGGGGCUAGCGUUGCUCGGAAUCACUGGGCGUAAAGCGCACGUAGGCGGAUUGCUAAGUCAGGGGUGAAAUCCUGGAGCUCAACUCCAGAACUGCCUUUGAUACUGGCAACCUUGAGUCCGGGAGAGGUGAGUGGAACUGCGAGUGUAGAGGUGAAAUUCGUAGAUAUUCGCAAGAACACCAGUGGCGAAGGCGGCUCACUGGCCCGGUACUGACGCUGAGGUGCGAAAGCGUGGGGAGCAAACAGG